UACGGAGGGGACUAGCGUUGUUCGGAAUUACUGGGCGUAAAGCGCACGUAGGCGGAUUUGUAAGUCAGGGGUGAAAUCCCGGGGCUCAACCUCGGAACUGCCUUUGAUACUGCAAAUCUCGAGUCCGGAAGAGGUGAGUGGAAUUCCUAGUGUAGAGGUGAAAUUCGUAGAUAUUCGCAAGAACACCAGUGGCGAAGGCGGACUCACUGGCCCGAUACUGACGCUGAGGCACGAAAGCGUGGGGAGCAAACAGG
rnacentral:rRNA from 1 species